rnacentral:rRNA from 1 species
GACGAACGCUGGCGGCGUGCCUAAUACAUGCGAGUAGAACGCUGAAGGAGGAGCUUGCUUCUCUGGAUGAGUUGCGAACGGGUGAGUAACGCGUAGGUAACCUGCCUGGUAGCGGGGGAUAACUAUUGGAAACGAUAGCUAAUACCGCAUAAGAGUAGAUGUUGCAUGACAUUUGCUUAAAAGGUGCAAUUGCAUCACUACCAGAUGGACCUGCGUUGUAUUAGCUAGUUGGUGAGGUAACGGCUCACCAAGGCAACGAUACAUAGCCGACCUGAGAGGGUGAUCGGCCAAACUGGGACUGAGACACGGCCCAGACUCCUACGGGAGGCAGCAGUAGGGAAUCUUCGGCAAUGGACGGAAGUCUGACCGAGCAACGCCGCGUGAGUGAAGAAGGGUUUCGGAUCGUAAAGCUCGGUUGUAAGAGAAGAACGAGUGUGAGAGUGGAAAGUUCACACUGUGACGGUAUCUUACCAGAAAGGGACGGCUAACUACGUG